GGCCCGAUGCCACGUCUCUGGUAGCCACAUGCCUUGACUGGAGAUGCUACAUUGUGCCAAGAGGAAGUUCUUUCACAUUUGAUAGGAACCUGUGGCUGCAAAUCUAUGGUUACACAGAGCCGUUUUUUGUGAUUACACUA